rnacentral:rRNA from 1 species
GGGUUGUGAGGUUAAGCGACUAAGCGUACACGGUGGAUGCCCUGGCAGUCAGAGGCGAUGAAGGACGUGCUAAUCUGCGAUAAGCGUCGGUAAGGUGAUAUGAACCGUUAUAACCGGCGAUUUCCGAAUGGGGAAACCCAGUGUGAUUCGUCACACUAUCAUUAACUGAAUCCAUAGGUUAAUGAGGCGAACCGGGGGAACUGAAACAUCUAAGUACCCCGAGGAAAAGAAAUCAACCGAGAUUCCCCCAGUAGCGGCGAGCGAACGGGGAGCAGCCCAGAGCCUGAAUCAGUGUGUGUGUUAGUGGAAGCGUCUGGAAAGGCGCGCGAUACAGGGUGACAGCCCCGUACACAAAAAUGCACAUACUGUGAGCUCGAUGAGUAGGGCGGGACACGUGGUAUCCUGUCUGAAUAUGGGGGGACCAUCCUCCAAGGCUAAAUACUCCUGACUGACCGAUAGUGAACCAGUACCGUGAGGGAAAGGCGAAAAGAACCCCGGCGAGGGGAGUGAAAAAGAACCUGAAACCGUGUACGUACAAGCAGUGGGAGCACAGAGCAAUCUGUGUGACUGCGUACCUUUUGUAUAAUGGGUCAGCGACUUAUAUUCUGUAGCAAGGUUAACCGAAUAGGGGAGCCGAAGGGAAACCGAGUCUUAACUGGGCGUUAAGUUGCAGGGUAUAGACCCGAAACCCGGUGAUCUAGCCAUGGGCAGGUUGAAGGUUGGGUAACACUAACUGGAGGACCGAACCGACUAAUGUUGAAAAAUUAGCGGAUGACUUGUGGCUGGGGGUGAAAGGCCAAUCAAACCGGGAGAUAGCUGGUUCUCCCCGAAAGCUAUUUAGGUAGCGCCUCGUGAAUUCAUCUCCGGGGGUAGAGCACUGUUUCGGCAAGGGGGUCAUCCCGACUUACCAACCCGAUGCAAACUGCGAAUACCGGAGAAUGUUAUCACGGGAGACACACGGCGGGUGCUAACGUCCGUCGUGAAGAGGGAAACAACCCAGACCGCCAGCUAAGGUCCCAAAGUCAUGGUUAAGUGGGAAACGAUGUGGGAAGGCCCAGACAGCCAGGAUGUUGGCUUAGAAGCAGCCAUCAUUUAAAGAAAGCGUAAUAGCUCACUGGUCGAGUCGGCCUGCGCGGAAGAUGUAACGGGGCUAAACCAUGCACCGAAGCUGCGGCAGCGACGCUGAUGCGUUGUUGGGUAGGGGAGCGUUCUGUAAGCCUGUGAAGGUGUGCUGUGAGGCAUGCUGGAGGUAUCAGAAGUGCGAAUGCUGACAUAAGUAACGAUAAAGCGGGUGAAAAGCCCGCUCGCCGGAAGACCAAGGGUUCCUGUCCAACGUUAAUCGGGGCAGGGUGAGUCGACCCCUAAGGCGAGGCCGAAAGGCGUAGUCGAUGGGAAACAGGUUAAUAUUCCUGUACUUGGUGUUACUGCGAAGGGGGGACGGAGAAGGCUAUGUUGGCCGGGCGACGGUUGUCCCGGUUUAAGCGUGUAGGCUGGUUUUCCAGGCAAAUCCGGAAAAUCAAGGCUGAGGCGUGAUGACGAGGCACUACGGUGCUGAAGCAACAAAUGCCCUGCUUCCAGGAAAAGCCUCUAAGCAUCAGGUAACAUCAAAUCGUACCCCAAACCGACACAGGUGGUCAGGUAGAGAAUACCAAGGCGCUUGAGAGAACUCGGGUGAAGGAACUAGGCAAAAUGGUGCCGUAACUUCGGGAGAAGGCACGCUGAUAUGUAGGUGAAGUCCCUCGCGGAUGGAGCUGAAAUCAGUCGAAGAUACCAGCUGGCUGCAACUGUUUAUUAAAAACACAGCACUGUGCAAACACGAAAGUGGACGUAUACGGUGUGACGCCUGCCCGGUGCCGGAAGGUUAAUUGAUGGGGUCAGCGCAAGCGAAGCUCUUGAUCGAAGCCCCGGUAAACGGCGGCCGUAACUAUAACGGUCCUAAGGUAGCGAAAUUCCUUGUCGGGUAAGUUCCGACCUGCACGAAUGGCGUAAUGAUGGCCAGGCUGUCUCCACCCGAGACUCAGUGAAAUUGAACUCGCUGUGAAGAUGCAGUGUACCCGCGGCAAGACGGAAAGACCCCGUGAACCUUUACUAUAGCUUGACACUGAACAUUGAGCCUUGAUGUGUAGGAUAGGUGGGAGGCUUUGAAGUGUGGACGCCAGUCUGCAUGGAGCCGACCUUGAAAUACCACCCUUUAAUGUUUGAUGUUCUAACGUUGACCCGUGAUCCGGGUUGCGGACAGUGUCUGGUGGGUAGUUUGACUGGGGCGGUCUCCUCCUAAAGAGUAACGGAGGAGCACGAAGGUUGGCUAAUCCUGGUCGGACAUCAGGAGGUUAGUGCAAUGGCAUAAGCCAGCUUGACUGCGAGCGUGACGGCGCGAGCAGGUGCGAAAGCAGGUCAUAGUGAUCCGGUGGUUCUGAAUGGAAGGGCCAUCGCUCAACGGAUAAAAGGUACUCCGGGGAUAACAGGCUGAUACCGCCCAAGAGUUCAUAUCGACGGCGGUGUUUGGCACCUCGAUGUCGGCUCAUCACAUCCUGGGGCUGAAGUAGGUCCCAAGGGUAUGGCUGUUCGCCAUUUAAAGUGGUACGCGAGCUGGGUUUAGAACGUCGUGAGACAGUUCGGUCCCUAUCUGCCGUGGGCGCUGGAGAACUGAGGGGGGCUGCUCCUAGUACGAGAGGACCGGAGUGGACGCAUCACUGGUGUUCGGGUUGUCAUGCCAAUGGCACUGCCCGGUAGCUAAAUGCGGAAGAGAUAAGUGCUGAAAGCAUCUAAGCACGAAACUUGCCCCGAGAUGAGUUCUCCCUGACCCUUUAAGGGUCCUGAAGGAACGUUGAAGACGACGACGUUGAUAGGCCGGGUGUGUAAGCGCAGCGAUGCGUUGAGCUAACCGGUACUAAUGAACCGUGAGGCUUAACCUUACAACGCCGAAGGUGUUU